UCUUUUGUCUGUCCUAGUCUUCCAACAUUCAGCUUCAUUUGAUGUCCCUGAGUUCUACUGUUAUGAGAGAUUUGAUCCGUAUUACAAUCAAAUCCUGGAGAUUUCCAUUUAGAUGGAGACAUUCAGAUAUGAAAUGGGCUAUGUCUGCUUCUGCCAACAAUGUCUACUACCACCACCCGGGACAGGCAAGGCCACCACUUGCCUCUCCAUUCAUAAGGAGACACUGUCUUAAGAACAAACCAUUUUAAAAAUGCUGAAAUGCUGAGGGGUGUAGGUGGUCCCAAUUUUUUCGUUCCUCUUAACAUUGGCAUUUUCAUCUGUAACAAAAUAACUCCUGGCAGGGAUGAUGCCACACAAUUCCAGCUUCGCUCAGACCUUGCCUGGAAGAUAUAUGAAGAAACCAGGAGCAUCAGCCAAGGCUUCUCCAUUCACAUUUUGGCUCACCAUUUCCACUAUUGGCCCUUUGGCCCAACUUCCCUGUAAGGAAAUGGAAUUAUAUUCACGAUCCCUAUUCUGGGAUUGGUUAAAGGUGGGGGCGGGCCUGGUGAGCGUUGAUUGGUCCCUUGUCUAUGAUAGCUAGGUGGUGGAUCUGAAAGGAAGGCAAGGAUGUAACGAGAGUUUAGAAAGGGCAAUCUUGUCUUCAGUAGCCAUGCAGAGCAAAGCUUCAGAAGAGGACUAACUCCUAACUCCCAGAACCAUCAAAUAUUCUUCCAGACUGCCUAUUCGAGAGAGAGAGAAAUUCACCCCUUUACGUUCUGUAACUAUCGGUGCUAUUUACAAACUGAGGGAAGGGGAAUCUACAAAUAAUUCUUACUUUAACAUUUAGAUUAUUAUUAUUUUUUAAAGACAUUUUGGAGCAAGCACAUUGAGUGGUUGUUUUUGCCUCUUGAUUUAAAAGUAGUCUAAAAAGAACAAAGGCAUUUUUGAUGUGAUCCUUUAAUUACUAGGAGAUAACCUGAGUUGAGUGAAAAGUAUUUUUUAACUUUAAUCUUAGCUCUUUAGGCAGCAAAAAACCCUAACACAUAACAUGAGCUCAUUUUAAAAUUGUUGUGUUACAAGACUCCCAACAACAAUGAAACGUUCAGUAAAUUUCAAGGACAGUAUUCAAAAUCACUAACAUUUUUCUGCAGCAAAAGUUUUGAAAGAAGAUAUAGAGAAGUGACUUUGGCAAAUUAACGAACUGUGAGAAAACUGGUUUUAUGAUACGAAGCAUCUUUAAUUCUGAAACUAAGCCUCUGUUCAGAAACAAAGUAAUUGUUAUAUUUCACCUGUGCUCAAAAUAAUAGCUUUUCUUCUGCUAUCAACUGACAUUUAGCAUGAAGGAAAUGUUUUUUUUAAGAGUUCUAAAUUAAAUGUUCCAGAAUACUAAUUUCCAGGCUGGGUUUUAGUGCUUCUCACUGAAAUAAGUGCUUUGGUUUGUCUGGACCCUGAAAACGGUACCAUUUGAAGUACGUAAAACAUCUGCCAUACCCAGCACUAGUUUAGGUCUACCGUGGCAAUAUCUAAAGUAUCUACUGCUCCUGGUACCCAAUAACUGAGAUGGAUGAAGUCUGGGUUGUCUAUUUGUGUAUGGUUCUGUUUGCCAUCGUCGUUAUUUUGAUGAAGCAGAAGCCCGAUGAUGAAAUCAGGAAAGAGACAGAGACGCCAAGCGCCUCUGCUUCAACCUCAUCCUACUCUAGCAGUUCUGGAAGUCGUAUGGAAUGCACUGAGGAGGAGAUGGAAGCAUCCCUGAAGCGACUAACCAGCAUCUUGUUCCAUGCUGAUGCCCAGAGGAGGGAACCCCGUCACGAGCACAACACCUCUGCCCAUCAGAAAGAUCCAGCAGGAAAGGAGCUAGGAGAAUCCCAGCCUCAGCUGAGUCAGAGGAGAAAUCAGGUCUGAAAUGACUGAUGAAUUUUAGAUAGCAGCAUAUGGUUCGGUUCCCACUGUGCGCUGCUAGACGCUUGAAGCAAAUCUCACACACCUUCUCCAAAAGGAAGAGGCUUUCAAAGAAAGGAAAACAACAGGAUGUUUCUUUGCUCUUCCCACUUCCUCUAACAGAAACUGUGAUUUUGACCUAACAGUUAGGUUAUUCACUAAAGGCAAAUAUGCUGCUCCUGAGGCUGUUAAGUGCCUUCACUGUUCCCUGACCUUGCUGAACAAAUUCCUCUUUCCCGCCUAGGUGGUUUUUAUAGCUGCAGGCUUCAACUCUGUCCCACCUGUGCUCACAACAAUAUGGUUCCCUGGAAACUCCCUAGACAUAGAGGUUCCUACUGUGUCCCUGUGACUGUCAAACUGUUACUGGAAAGUGUGUGUGAGAGAAAGAAAGAGAUAGAUAAAAAAAAUCUUCAGAAUGGAGGUGAACUUCAGGCCUGGGGAUGGGAGGCAAAUACAACCAUCCUGUCCAUUGGGAUUCUCCAAACACUUUCUCUUCUCAGGCCUUGCUCAUCACCUGGUUGUUUUCACCUGGCUGGAAAUGCACCCUUGAACUCCUAUGAUGGCUGGAAACAGAAUGUGGAAGCAUGUGUAAAAGUUUACAUCUGUUGCUCCACCCAUUUUUGCUUCUGGCCCCACCUACCAGUAGCACCCCCCCCCCCGCCCCCAUUGCUCAGAAGGGAAUAUGACCCUCCGGCUGAAAAGUUUACAUGACCCUAGCUUGGAAGAUGCUACCAAAUAAUGAAUAUGCUCUCUGUGUGCGUAGCUGGGUGUUUUCAUUUUUCAAUCCUUGUGUGGCAUGACAAGCCCUGCAUUUCAGCAGUUUUGUACGGGGCCAGUCAGGUUCUCUGCUGUCCCCUGUGCAACCCUUUGAAACGCCCCCCAGCAGCAGUUCCUUCCUGAACCAAAUAAAGCUUCCGCAGUAAGCAGAUAGUUGUGUUUGACUCCAAAUUUUUGUACAAGCUGCUUUGAGGCCAGUUAUGUUCCUAUUUAUCUGAGCUAUCCUAGUAUAAAUUACACAAAGCCUGAGCUGCAGGUAUUUGUACAAGCUGAUCCAGAUCAUACUAUCUAUCAGUGUGUCUUCCUCAUCCAUUUAGCUCCCAGAGUUUUCUUUCUUUGUCUUGGAGUUGCUAUGUUUGCUAAAAUAACUCCGGUCCAGAUUGUUCAUCAUGAGCUAACUUCCUGCUCUUACAACAUGUCCGCAAGUAGCCUUUCCUCAUAAGAUGCUAAGAUUUUUUCAUACAGCUAACAGGAAGUCUCUCUUCCUCCUUGGCCGCUAGAUGUUAGCGCCUUGCUAUGUGCAAAGUAACAAGCGUAAUCACUGAAGAUGGGUUAGUUAAACCUGCUAGCUAGCAGCACAUGGCACCUGAGGUAGGGAUAGGUAGAAAGAAUCAGUCCCCAAAUCGUCAUGACAUUAUGUUUGAUGAUUGGGAACAGUUAUGGAACACAGGUGUUAAGUUUACGGCUUGUAAUGCUUUGAGAGAAAACAUAAUGA